CGGCACAUGUGAUUCAAAGAAGGACAACACAAUUCUCUUUCUGGUGUGUUUUGCUUUGGCUAUAAGUCUCGUUGUUAUAGCCUUCCUUGUUUAUGCCAUCAGGAAAAAAUCCUGUAAUUGUUGCAAAGCUGCUGCCACUCUGCAAACUAACUCUGCAACAGCCCAUAACAAUCAGCAAAAUCAGCAGAGAAAUGAGGACUCUUUGGUUUAUUGUAAACCAAACUUUCCCAGGAGGAAAACCGGCAAAGCUGCGAGAAGGAAUCAAAGAGAAGAGGAGACGAUCUACACAGACGUCAGGGCUUUGGUGAAGGAUAAACCAUCCAGAGUCUGAACA